rnacentral:rRNA from 1 species
GACGAACGCUGGCGGCGUGCUUAACACAUGCAAGUCGUACGGUAAGGCCCUUUCGGGGGUCCCCGAGUGGCGAACGGGUGAGUAACACGUGAGUAACCUGCCCACAACUUUGGGAUAACGCUAGGAAACUGGUGCUAAUACUGGAUAUGUGCUCCUGCUGCAUGGUGGGGGUUGGAAAGCUCCGGCGGUUGUGGAUGGACUCGCGGCCUAUCAGCUUGUUGGUGGGGUAGUGGCCUACCAAGGCGGCGACGGGUAGCCGGCCUGAGAGGGUGACCGGCCACAUUGGGACUGAGAUACGGCCCAGACUCCUACGGGAGGCAGCAGUGGGGAAUAUUGCACAAUGGGCGCAAGCCUGAUGCAGCAACGCCGCGUGCGGGAUGACGGCCUUCGGGUUGUAAACCGCUUUCAGCAGGGACGAAGCUUUUUGUGACGGUACCUGCAGAAGAAGCACCGGCUAACUACGU